GACCCAAGUUCUGGCCCAGCAGACUCAGCCCAUCGAAGCCCAAAACCAUUUUCAGGAGCCCAAGGUAUUUUGUUAUAAAUACUCACCUUUCCACUUUAGUUUCUCAGAAACUUCAUCAAAAGGAAAGAGUUAGAGAGAGAAUGAGCUAAGAGGAAGUGUGAUUAUAUUGUAGUCAGAGAUUCGCUAGAGCUCGUCGCCGGAGCAACCGUGUGCCGUGAUCACGUUCAGCUCGCCACCACCGAUAACCGCCCGAGACCACCAUCGUGUUCCUCUCGUAAAGACGAAGCCGUAGCCACCGACCACGUCGCAAUCGGAGUCCGGACGAGCCCUCACGCGCCUACGGAAGAUUGCCCUCCGCGCGCUCGUGAAACGCACGCGCUGCCGUCACCACCGCCAGCUCGCCGGAGCCGCCGUGCCCGGCCACCGUCCGUCCACUGCCAGGAAGCCGCCGCCUCUCCGUCGUCGCCGCCGUUAAUUUUCCGGUCCACCACCCUCCGCCAUCGCCGCCGGUGACUCGCUGGCGACUCGCCAACUCGGCCGAGUCGACCCGGUGAGUCAACUCGGUGACUCGGUCAACCGGUUGGUUUGACUGGUUUAAAUUGAUUUAGGGUUGGUUAGGUUAAACCGCCAGUUAAAAUCAAUUGGAUUUCGGUUAGGAUAAACCGGUUAGAUAUAUUAAUUAAUUAAUCAAUUGAUGGUUAAGGUAAACCGGAUGGUCCAAUUGGAAUUUCGGUUGAGUAAAACCGGUUGGUUUAAAUCAAUUCCAAUCUGGUCAAGGGUUGACCGGCUUGGAUCAGAGUUGAGCGGAUUGACCUUUAACGAGCGUGUUGACUUUUCCGUAAACCUUGACUAAACCCGUUUUAAAUCGUCCGGAAGCCGUUCUGACUCACAAUUUCGUCCUGAUUUCAGAUUUGGAAUCUAUUUGAGCAGCUGGAGUUCAUAGAUACUACUUUUCUCUAUUGCUAAGGUGAGGGUCUAUUCCCGAACUUCUCGUACACGGCUUAGGACCUCGAAUAAGUAUAACUUAUUUCUAAUAUGUUCCGCCUGUUUGAAAUCGAGUCUGUCAUUGCUUGUAUAGUUAUUAGGUUAUUUGCUUAAAUCGAAACUAGGGUGUUAGAAGAUUCAACAUUGAUUGUUUCACUUAAUGUAAAUUCUUAGCUAGACUUGUUUUUGCCGGGUACAGAGACAGACUUCUGUAUGCCGGAUUGUAUGGGGGUUACAGCCAACAUUAGUCGACCGGUUGAGCUGUAGCCUGGUGUGUGUCGAUAAAUCGUCUACGGCCGGUGUCUGAGCACUAUCUCGAGCUGUGUUAUGUUUUUGGCCUGUUAGUGGGCAGCGAGUGCGCGUCUCGCUAGGAUCAUUGCGUGUUGCUUGGGUACUUUAGGUACCGUAUUUGACAUGUAUUAGAAUUAAAUUAUAUUUAUUCGGAGUGCUAUGUCCGGGUCCACGGACUUCGGGGUAGCAUCCCAUACCUCAUUGGGCGAUUCCCCUGUCGCUCACCCCUCACUCUCCCACUUUCAGGUGAGACCGACGAGCAGGAGUGAUUAUCGCUUUUAUCUUUAUCGGGCCUUUAGGCCUUUGGACUUUUAUCGUUUAUGUUAUUUUCUAUUUCAGACGGUUUAUGUCGUAUUUUAUAUUUCAGAUGUUAUCGAUGUUGGGCCUUUAGGCCUUAUGGUAUCAUAUUUACUUUUAUAUUAUGAUAUGAAGAUUAUUAUUAUUUCAGUAUUUAUUAGUAUGUUAUUUUCGCAUUUAUAUUAAUUCGAGGAAGCCGUGUGUUACAAUUUUUGGUAUCAGAGCGGGGUUCCGUCCCGGGUCCGACCCGGGAUGGCAAUUUUUGGAGACUCGGUUUUAUUCGGUUUAAACGUUUUUAGACAAUUUCAAAAUAUUUUCGGGGAUUUGGAAAUUUUGAAAAU